rnacentral:rRNA from 1 species
UACGUAGGGGGCGAGCGUUGUCCGGAUUUAUUGGGCGUAAAGAGCGUGUAGGCGGCCAUGUAGGUCUGCUGUGAAAACUCGAGGCUCAACCUCGAGACGUCGGCGGAAACCAUCUGGCUAGAGUCCGGAAGAGGAGAGUGGAAUUCCUGGUGUAGCGGUGAAAUGCGCAGAUAUCAGGAAGAACACCCGUGGCGAAGGCGGCUCUCUGGGACGGUACUGACGCUGAGACGCGAAAGCGUGGGGAGCGAACAGG